UCGUUACACUUGUUCUGAAAAUGAAAACAAAAAUGAGUUUGGUAAUCAACAAAAUUAUUGAAAUAUAAUUUAAAUACCUCCAAUGCUUUGAAUUUUUCAGACCAAACUGCAUCUGGUGUUGCAUCAACAGUCGUGCUUUCUGAGAUCGGCUCUUUUCCUUUCCAAUUUGGAGAAGCCCAUCUUUCGUUUGUUGUGCUCACCAUACUGGCAGCUUCUCCAAUUCCUAUUAUUCGAUUUUUCUUAUUUUUUCCGAAAGUCUUGUUGACCGUCGCUUC
rnacentral:lncRNA from 1 species